ACCCAUAGCGUUUCUAUUUUUGGAGAGCUGGCGAGCGCUCCGGAAACUGAAUCUCAGCAAGCUUUCAGCUGACGUGGACACUGCUGGUCUGGGCUGGCUCUUUGAGAAUCACUGGUUUAGCUCAUUCCCUUCAGGGAUAGUUCUACAUUAAUUCACCUUUGUCAGUGUGUCCAUGCUUGUUGAAAUCGUGGAGAUAGAAAAGUGUAAAGAGAAGAUAGGUUUCAAAUCAGGAAACCUCAGAGAACUCAUAAUGAUCUUCCAGCUGGCUGUCAUUCUCGAAGGUGCAUCUCGCAUUAUUCUGAAUUCUGUUGUCUGCUGUAACUCAACUCCUUUUUCUUCCACUGAAGACUAUUGGAAUGCGGGGCUUUCUCCCUUAUGAGGACUUAACAUUCAUGAAGUAUGCUUGCCAGGGGAAUAUUUUCAGUUUAAUAAUUUCUAAAAAUUCUAAUUUAAGGAUAGAUGGUAAGUAGAUAAGAGCUAGGUUCAUUAUAGUUCUUUAUAGUGUGACUUAAUUUCAGGUUUUUUUUUUAUUGUUUCAAACAGUUUGUGUUCACAUGUAUAAGAGGAUACAGUAAAUUCUAUAUUUUUGCAACUCCAUAGUCUGUAGCUUGCAAGCUCCUCUGUCCAUGAAAUUCUCCAGGCAAGAAUACUGGAGUGGAUACCCAUUCUCUUUUCUGGGGGAUCUUCCCAACCCAGGGAUUAAACACAGGACUUCUGCAUUCCAGGCAGAUUCUUUACCAUCUGAGCCACCUGCAAAGCCAACAUUAAAUACUAGAUAAAACAAAACCUGUAACUAUUUUCUCAGAUUCUAGAAAAUAGCACUUAAAUGACAAACCUAAGUAAUCACAAAAGAAAUGGGAAGACAGAAAGAGAACAUAUUUCUUAAAAAUAGUUGUUGGAAUACUACAUUGUGGGGUUACAUGACCAUAGAUAAUCUAUCUUUUUGGUGCAACAUUUGAUAAAAUGUUUCCUAUGAAUUCCUUAAGGUUAAAGUGUUUAAAUUUGAGUUAGAAAUAUUAUUAAGUUUUUACAUACUUACAGCAGCUUAAUCUAAGGAGUGAUGGUAAAUGACAAUUUGAAUUAUAGAGAUGUAUAAAGUAGUAUACAGAAAGUGUAUAAACAUCCCUUUGUUUCCCUAUAAAAGUUGCCCAUUUUAGAUGAUCCUUUUCAUAUAAUUUGAAUGUCUAAACAAAUGUUUUGCC
rnacentral:lncRNA from 1 species